rnacentral:lncRNA from 1 species
AUCUCAUCUACUGAAAGGGUCAAACCAUAUCCAAUACUCCUACAUACAGAAUCGUCUACCUCUAUCUAUCUGUGACAAUAGAAAGUUUGGUUUGGGUUUUUUCGAUUCUUUCACUCUUCGUAUUAGUGGGUUGAGUUUCUCAAACUAAAUAUUUUUUCCUUGAGUUUUACAAUGUCCUUGUGUGUAUUUUGUCUUUGGUGAUUUUCUAUUGUUUGUUUACUCUUUUCCAUUUUAUUAUAUCUGCCUUUUCUAAUGUACUCAAAUUUGUUCAUUUGUUUUGUUUAUUUAUCCUUUAGGGCUUUUCUGCACAUGAAUCAUGAUAGACGAAAUAGAUUCAAAAAGCUUGAAAAUGGAGGAAGAGAAGAUUUUCGAGUUCCGCUAAAUUUUCCUCCAUUCUUUCUUGGUGAGCAGUAAACCUUUUCUUCUAUUUUUUUUAUAGAAUAUUGAUUUAGAAUUUUCAUUUUUCUAUAAAGUUAUUUUUUAAUUUGUGCUUUAUUUUUCUUCUUAAUUCAUUAUAAGAUUUUGAAUUGUUGAUUUACAUGUAAUGUUCCUCUUUUUAUCAAAAUUGUUUUGGGUGGAUUCUGUGUGUCCAUGUGGUUAUUUUGUUCAAAAUCUUCUAUGAUUUUUUUUUUUCUCAGGUAAACAAACUGUAACAACGCUAAGCACAUUGAAUUUCCUCUGGACAAAAAAUUCUACUUAAAGGGAAGAACAACUAAGGUGCUUGACGAUAUGCCUGAAAUAACUAAACAAUUUCAUAUUCCAUAUUUCUUUUUCUGUAGGUGAUUUAUGAUAUAAACAUCUAUCCUUAGAACACAAAUAUAGGACAUUUGAAAAAUGUUUUGGUAACUAUACAUAUGACACUGAAAAUGCAGCAUACCCUUUAAAUGGGAUGUCUUUUCAAAUUCAUUUGUAUAUGAAAAAGCAAAGCUUUUCGAGAGAAGGGAAUGAAUGUGGAUAAUUCUUUCAUGGUGCCCUACAUUUUGACAAUGCUGCAUUACUAAUGUCGUUUCAUCGGGAAUUCAUCAUUAAUUGAAAUCUUUCAUUCUAUCUCUCUGUCUGGAGAUCUAUUUAAACACGAAGGAAAUAGAUAAUUAAUUUCAUUAAUUCUCUCUUCGUCUCAUUUGACGACCAGGUCAGUAGAAAUCUGUAUCAAUACAAUCCUUCUUAUGUGUUUGUCAACCCAUUGAUGAUUAGAUGCAGUACUUGUGAUAUCUGUGGUAUAUGAGCUUCUUGCCUCUCUAUUUCCAUUGCACAAUUAAAAUAUGAUAUUUCCGUUUUGGUUGUUCUUUAUGUUAUGUGGCUUCUGAAACUAAGUAGUUUUAUUAUUUAUUGUUAGUGUAGGAGAUGGAUUCAUUCACUGACUCGCCCUGCGAUUUAUGAGGUACUACUGUAUUCUGUUGUCUUUUAGAUGCAUGAUCUGCAUGAUAGUAAACUGCAUGCAGCUCAUAUUAAGAGGGAAGAGAAUGAAUUUUUGCUUCAUCAAUAAACUAAGAAUUUUUUCAGGUUACCCUUAUUUUGAUAGCGAUGGUCAAGAUAUUUCAUUUACUGAAAUUCAUAUACUUAUAGUGUAUAUAAUAAAAGGAGUGGACGAUAUAUAUAUUGGUUUUGGGCACAUUGAUGUAUUGUUCAUGAGGAAAAUGACUGCAAGAAGAUAGCAACAUAACAUGAGUGAACUUCUUUAGACGAAUAAUUUUCUUUUUAUAUUUAUGUAAUAAUGUGCUCUACUUUUCUCUGUAGUCUCAACCAACUAAGAUUCCUUAAGGCACCAUAUGUCUCGUUCAUAUUUGUCUGUUAAGUAUUAGUAUAAUUUCGUCACAACAAGUUCCUGCAUGGAUUGUUUGUGGGCUAACAGUAUUUUGUUUGGGAUGUAAUUACAAAGUCUGCCGAUAUGUUUAUACUUCUUGCCUUUCCAACAAAGUUGAUAAAACCUUUACAAUGUUAGUCAUAUUUGGUGCAUGUUAUGAUGUCGGAGGUUAGUUCUUAUGACGAUACCAAUCUACCAAUAAAAGGAUAAGUGAUGUGAAUAGGAGUUGAGCUUUGUGUAAAUACCAAUUUUCAUCAUUUCCAUCCAUUAUAGAACAUUGAAAAUUCUUAUGUGCUAAUCAUAGGGGACGUUUUGAGUAGAGUCGUCCUUUCAGAAGCACCUUGAGCGAUAUUUAGGAACUUGUAAAACUUUAAAUAUUUUCACCAAUAAAAAAACUUUAAAUGUUAAAAUAACAAGGUACUUUAAUUUUAAUUAUGUGAUUUGAUAGAAAAUUAGUUGUGACAUUCAAGUGGGCUAUAUGAAGACCUUGAUGGGUUGGACUUAUCCUUCGAUGGGUAAUACGUAAGACUCAACAUAAUAAUUUUAACAUCUUGCUGAAAGGAUUGGGCUGGGGCGUCUUAUUCCUUGACAAUUAGCUCAAAUUAAGGUGGCAGAAACUUGAUGAAUGGUCCUAUUUGAUUGUAUUUUGGUCUACAUAACAAUGUUGUUUUGAAGGUUCUCCUGAAAUCUAAGUUUUCUUUAAACUAACGCAGAAAAGAGUAAAAGUUAGUUUCCCUUUCCUAUGUUAUUAUACUUAUCUAAUGCAGUAAUUAGGUAACUGUUCUUUACUGCUAAUGUUGAUUAUUAGUCGAAACCCAAUUUUCUCACUCAUCCACUGAAGCUACUAAAAUAAUUUUAACGUCUUUUAGGAGACAAAUGGGUUAAAAUUAGAGGCUCCUAUAGGCACGCUCUAGGACAAGUAUAGUUCUAGUAGUAUGAAACUUUAUUUUCCUUUCUCUUCCUCCAUUUUGUUGAUCAACUGUUUUGCACUAGCCAAACUCCAAAGCAAACAUUAGGUUGCAAGAAGUUUAAAAAUAAGUAGCCAAAACCUUUUAUGCAUUUUCUAAUCAAGGCAUAUACCUAGACACGGUGUACGACAUAUAUUAAACAUGCCAUGUGAAGUUUAAUGAGGUCAUUUGUUCUGCCUGCAGAUACCUAGAACUUAAUGUAACAGUUAUUCACUAGGAGGCUUUUCCAUGAAAGUUUCUCAAACUAUUGCUACAAUUCUGAUGUCAAUAAUAGUCAGCAUUGAUAUUUUCAUAGUAUGGAUACAACUCUAAACGUCAAUAACAUUGAGUUUUAAUGCAUCUAUCUCUUCAACAAGAAUUACCUGCAAGUUCAAGGAACUAAAGAAGAUCAUACCAUGUUUAGUAAAAUACUGAAGGAUACCACGUGAAUUCCCAUAUCUUGGGCAGCUACCUCCCCUCCUCAGUUGUUGUCUUUCCUUUAUCAGGUAUUGCUGAACUACUAAUCUUUAUAUGCUUGUGAAAAGUUAAAGUCUAAACUUUGUAAGAUGUACUCUGAAUCUAGGCCAACUCUAACGUGGUUCACACUUUCCUGAAAUAAGGCAGUCAAUUAAAAGUUUUUUGUGAGAUGAACUAAAAUAUGCACGGGAUAACUUCUACUUCAAGAGUGCACAACGCCACUAUUGAUGGACAUACGUAAUGCGGAUGCAAAUCUUACAGCGCUCAUAAUUUUCUACAAUUAUAUUCUACUGAAAGUGCAUAACUUAAACAGCAACACAUCCAAAUAAUAUUGUCCCAAUAACUUUCUCUGAUCACAUUGUUCGGCACAUGCUAAAGCACGGGCAAAAAUAUCUAGUUCAAUAACAUAUAGCAACUUUUAGGUACUUAAUCGAUGUGUAAUAUGUUGGGGCUAAACGGCUCACAUAUAUUUUUAGCAUGGUGUCAUAUUGUCUAUUUAGGGUUAAGCCUAUACGAUUUUCUCUAAAAAGGAUCCACACCAAUAAAAGAUUCUCACACCUUAUAAUAUGUAUGCUCCCAAGUCCCAAUCUUUUCAGCUACUGAUGAUAGGUAAUAAUUACGUAUUUUAGUCGCUUAUUAUAUUCUAAUUUACUAUGUUUUAAUUGAGUUUGACCUUCACUCGCUAGUGUUUUGCACUAAUUACAUUUUUUAUGCCUUGUAGGAGUGAUUCCGAGCUAUGUAGACAUUAUGGAAUGAAUUCGAGCUAUUUGGAGAUUUGAAGUCUGAGUAAAAGCCCAAGGGAUUAAGCCGGGAUCGUGUUUGGGGGUCAAGUAUCAAUUCCGGACGUCAAAAUUCAAGGAAGAAGCAACUGCUGAAGAAAUGCACUAGUGCGAGGCGCUGUACGACGCACUGUGUCGCACAGUGCGAGGCAUUAGUGUAAUUUUAUGUCAGAAAUUUCCAAAGUUCAGAAACUGAGUUUUUUUGGUCUGACAGGAAAAAGCACUAGUGCGACGCACAGGGCGACACAUGAAAAGCAAUAAGUUUGCAAGCUUUUCUAUUUCGGCUAGAAAAAGGAGAUUUCGUCUUGGCCCAACACUACUUGGUAUAAAUACAUAUAAAAAUGUUAUUUUGAGGACUUUUGACAUACUUUAGACCUAGGGAGAGCACGAAGCCUCCGUGGAGGCCGGAAUUCAUCUGAUUCUAUCUUUCUUCCAUCAAACUUAGUAAUCUUUACGUUUCUUUGGAUGACUUGUUAUUUUGCUACCAUGACUAUGUGGAGGUAAACUUCGUGUUCUAGGGUUGUGGUUGUCAUGAAUAUUGAAGUUUAUUAAUUAUAUUACCGUUAAUUCGAGUUAUCAUCUUUGGU